CCUACGGGAGGCAGCAGUGGGGAAUUUUGGACAAUGGGCGCAAGCCUGAUCCAGCAAUGCCGCGUGAGUGAAGAAGGCCUUCGGGUUGUAAAGCUCUUUUGUCAGGGAAGAAACGGUGGUUCCUAAUAUGGACUACUAAUGACGGUACCUGAAGAAUAAGCACCGGCUAACUACGUGCCAGCAGCCGCGGUAAUACGUAGGGUGCAAGCGUUAAUCGGAAUUACUGGGCGUAAAGCGUGCGCAGGCGGUUAUAUAAGUCAGAUGUGAAAUCCCCGGGCUCAACCUGGGAACUGCAUUUGAGACUGUAUGGCUAGAGUGUGUCAGAGGGGGGUAGAAUUCCACGUGUAGCAGUGAAAUGCGUAGAUAUGUGGAGGAAUACCGAUGGCGAAGGCAGCCCCCUGGGAUAACACUGACGCUCAUGCACGAAAGCGUGGGGAGCAAACAGGAUUAGAUACCCUGGUAGUCCACGCCCUAAACGAUGUCUACUAGUUGUCGGGACUUAAUUGUCUUGGUAACGCAGCUACGACGUGAGUAGACCGCCGUCGGGAGGUACGGUCGCGAGAGUAAACGUACGAAGAAGUAGUACGGCGUGAGAGAGACGACGGACGACGACGAGGGAGGAGG
rnacentral:rRNA from 1 species